GACGAACGCUGGCGGCGUGCUUAACACAUGCAAGUCGAACGGAAAGGCCCUGCUUUUGUGGGGUGCUCGAGUGGCGGACGGGGGAGUAACACGUGAGUAACCUGCCCCUGACUUUGGGAUAACCUCAGGAAACUGGGGGUAAUACCGGAUAGGAGCUCCUGCUGCAUGGUGGGGGUUGGUAAGUUUCGGCGGUUGGGGAUGGACUCGCGGCUCAUCAGCUUGUUGGUGGGGUAGUGGCUUACCAAGGCUUUGACGGGUAGCCGGCCUGAGAGGGUGACCGGCCAAAUUGGGACUGAGAUACGGCACGGACUAGUCCGGGAGGCAGCAGUGGGGAAGAGUGCACAAUGGGCGGAAGCCUGAUGCAGCAACGCCGCGUGCGGGAUGACGGCCUUCGGGUUGUGAACCGCAGUCGCCUGUCACGAAGCGUGAGUGACGGUAAUGGGUAAAGAAGCACCGGCUAACUACGUG
rnacentral:rRNA from 1 species